UUCAUAAGAGGCAAAAACCAAUUACAAGAGACUACCUCUUUGAACAUCAAGUGUAGCAUGAACUCCACACCCGAGCUUAUCCGAAGACAAGCAACCGCACACGUUACAACCACAACACAAAGGAACUUGCCCUAAACAGAACAACUAAACCGCGUCUCGACCAAUACCGGUCACCUCGAAGAACAACAACUUCAACUGGACUUCCCUUGGCAAUGCACCAACCACCCUUGAAUGCCUAAAAGAAGAUGGCGAGUGGCUGGCAGGACUCAGUCGAUCCCGAGAAAAGCCAGCGUCUUGGACUCACCGCCGCCGGCGUACAUUGCGUCGAAGUAGCUCUACUCGGACCAGCGGCAGGCACCGAAGAACCACAACACGGAACCAAAGUCCAAGUCUCCCCACACGAUGCUCCCAUCAGAGGAACGACGCUUAGACGCCGCCAUCGCCGGUCCGAUAACGAAUUGGCUUUCGCCUGGAGACAACAACCCAAGCUAGGAGGAAGAGAUGUUGACACACCUUAGCGACGCCUCCAAGGAGGGAAUCGAGACCCGCAGGCGCCGUCGCCGCCAACACCGUCCGAAGAAGGGCAUGAUUUUCAUCCGUGUCACACAUAUCCAACCCUCCCCACCAGAUUGAGGCACACUGUCUAUGAUGGGUCACUCCGCCACCGCCGCAACACCUCAGCCGUCGUGACCAGAACGUCACAGCACACCGACCCUGCACGGACGAGGGCAAGCAACCCGAACUGCAUCUCCCGCUCGGCCAAGGAAAUAUCGCAGCUUUGGUCCUCCAUGGCAGCACGGCAAGGGCAGACGGCACCGCACGCAGCCACCAGCCACACCCAUCCAGGCAGGAGGCCACACAAUAGACGAUCCAGAGACACAGAUCGGCCAGAUCCGGUCGCAGGCCGCCUGCACCAUCUUCCAUCUCUGGCGCCAACCGAGGGCACCACCGCACGCUCAACGCCGCUGCACACCUGACCGCUGCCGAUGCAGCAUCUCCUGGCCGAGCUCGCAGCGCCGCGACCACCUCCUGUGCCCUCGCCGGCGCCACCUUGGCCCCACCGCGCCGCCGCCUCCAGGAGCCAUCCCGACGCCGCACGGAGCCCAGACCCGCGCGCCAAGGCCUCCACUACUACUCUCCUGCCGAGCUCCGCCACCCGCCUCGCCCCCCGCCAUGCGCCGCCACACCAGAAGAUCCUCCUGUGCCGCCCGCUUGGCGUCCCGCCACCGCGCGAGGGGAGCCCGCCGGGGCGCGCCGACCCUGCCUGUCGCCUUCGGUGGCCGGGCGCCGCCACCACAGCCGGAGUCGUCGGCGGCGGCGACAAGGGGACCACGAGGAAGAGACUUGUGGGGCUAGGGAUUUGCCCUCCGGAGCCGCCUGCGCGAGCGGCCCGGAAGGAAGUGGAACGUGCGGUGUAGGUAAUAAAGUUGAGACAUUUUGGAACAG
rnacentral:rRNA from 1 species